rnacentral:lncRNA from 1 species
UGCAGUUGGAGACAGAUGUGGCAGUCUACGAAAGGGUUCAAGGAGGAAGGGGAUUGCGGCGUGUGGGUGGAGGUUGGGAAAACCUAACCCAUUGCUUGUCCCGACUACCCUCCUACCUUUUAUUCCACUAGGAAACAACAACCACCUUCCCGUACUAGAAAGGAAAAAAAAAAUACAUCCCGAAAAAACAACCCUAAAAAACAAUUAAUAUCGGCUCUUUUCCAGUCGCCCACCCAAAACGAAAACCCUAUGCUUUGUUAAUUUGCUGGAGCCGGCGACAAGAGCAACUGGAUGAGCACGACUCAGCUCUGGAUCGGCGGUAGUGCAGUUCCCGAGGUAGAAGUAAUCCAGCGAUUAUAUGCUUUUUCUGCUUUGAUGGUUAGUAUAUUUGAUCGUCGAUGAAACAUUUAUGAUGGAAUAUGCCGUUGGUAGUACGUCUCAUUAAGGAAACCCCGCUUCGAUCGUCGCUGAUGCAUAUCGCUGCUGAUGUAUUUAUGAUGGGAAUAUUCCGUUGCUAGUAUCAUUAAGGAAACCCUGCUUCGAUCGUCGCUGAUGCAUUCAUGAUGGGAAUAUGCUGUUGCUAGUAUCAUUAAGGAAACCCUACUUCGAUCAUCGCUGAUGCAUUUAUGAUGGAAAUAUGUCGUUGCUAGUAUCAUUAAGAAACCUCGCUUCCAAUCUACCAACUAAGAGCACCGGCCAUGUCCCCACCGUUGGACACCCUUUUCAACGAUAAAAGCACUGCUAAAACAUCAUCUGAUUCCGCGAUUAAGCAGCCAAAUAAUCAUGGAACUGAAGGACACCAUUUUAAUUAAUGGUAAGUGCCAAUGUUAAACGUUGGGUUCGAUUAGUUGGUGGUCGAGUUGUUAAUCUACCGAAAAGCGAUUAAAAGCAUAGGAUCAACAUUGAUUUUUCAUCACAAAAACAACCAAAUUGGCCGCGCCUGCUAAUUUCUCCCCGCGGACCCUGCACUUUCUCCCCAUCCCCCCCCCCCCUAUGUUUGUGGUUUGUGCCAAUAUGUACCAUGCCAAAUUUUUGGUCACCGACCAAAUUUAGUAUUUGCUAGGAUAGUUGCCAAACACUGUCACCCCCGGUUCGCCCGGUUGCCGCCCCAGAAGCUGACGCCCCGUGCCCGGAUCUAGCCUGGCAGAGUGCCACCUCUGGUGUUCCUCCUCCUCUGAGUAGCCGACUAGGUCUGCCCCUCCUCCCCUGCCGAGUCGCUGCCUGUUCUGCUGCUCCUCCCCCCACCUAGUCGACGAUUGGGUCUGCUCCACUCUGCCAACCUCAGAUCGCGCCGUAUCGUGGACUCUUCCCACGCCGACGUCACCUGCCGCCGCCGCCACAUUCAGAUCCACCGAAUCCUUGACUCCUCCCCCACCGACGUCUCUUGCCGCUGCCGCGCCCUCUGAUAUCCACCAAAUCCUCGACUCCUCCCCCAACGACGUCUCCUGCCACCACCGCCACCCUUAGAUCCACCAUAUCCUCAACUCGUCCCCCGCUGACGUCUAUGGAAAAUUAGAGGUAAUAAAGUUGACAUAAAGAUGAAAGAGUUAUUUGAUGUGGUAAACGUGAGCCAUCUGCCUGAAAUGGUAAAACUAAUGAAAAAUGCACGACUCUUAAAUCUACCACAUAAAUCUUCAUCACUUUUGCUACGUACCUAAGAUGCGGAUCCAACCUAACAUCAGGCGUGGAACAAUGGAAGACAUAAAAGGUGUAAUAAAGAAAGAGGCUAAGCGACAUCAAGAAAUCCAAUUCAGGAAUCAAAUCACAAGAGAGAACUAGAAGAAAAGACGAAACAUUAUAUUAAAGAUCCGCGAACCUUUAUUUUUCCAAUGAUCAUAUGUCACAUGAAGGAAGUCGAGAGGCCACAAAGAAGACAAGGAAUGCAUGAUUUCACUAGGACUAGCACGUGGUUGGAGACAGAUGUGGCAGUCUACGAAAGGGUUCAAGGAGGAAGGGGAUUGCGGCAUGUGGGUGGAGGUCGGGAAAACCUAACCCAUUGCUUGCCCCGACUACCCUCCUACCUUUUAUUCCACUAGGAAACAACAACCACCU